GUAAGUUUUAAUAAUUUCAGAAGAAUGUUUAGGAAAACAUUUAUGUCUUGAGGAAAGAGUAGAAUUUCUUAAACAAGAUAAAAAUAAUGCUAAUCUUAAAAGAAAAAGUUCAUAAAUAUAACCACAUUAAAAUAAAGAACAUCUAUUUAUCAAACACAUCAAGAAAUUAAAGGGUAAGUUGCAAUCUGGGAGAAAAUAAUUGCAAUACAAAUGACUAAUAAGGAAUUAUUUUUCAGAAAAAAUAUUAUCUGAAAAACAAAAAUGAGGAAAAGUCAUGAUUGAUAAAUGGUAAAAAUACAUUAAUAUUUAACAAAAGUGGAAAUAAUGAGAGAGUUUUCAGACCACUUUUUACAAGUGCAAACAGCAUAAUUUUCUGCACAUACACCAAAAUUCAAGCAUAUUUCCUUAAAGGAACAGAUCGAAGAUGGAGUUGAAUCUAGCAGCCAUCAGUGGCCUAUAAUUGGUUGUAUGGGGAUACGGACUAAACUGCUUUAUCAGGCAUUAGGAGAUAAAGUGGCCUAAAUAUAACAUGAUAAUUGGGACACCAGAUUUUGCAUUCUAAGAGGAGACAGCAGUUGCAAAGUAAACUGGAAAGAAUGCAAAAAAAAGGGCAAGUAAAGUCACAACAUUGGCAAUGGCUGGGACCAAAACUGUAGUUGGUUUUGACUCCUAAGUUGUCACCAUGACCAGGCUGCAAGAAGUGGAGUAAAGUGCUUAUGAUGACAACCAACAAUUCACAGGAUGAGGAUUUUAAAUCAAAUCUACCCAACAGUGGAGACCUUGCUUUUUCAUGUGAAAUACCAUUAGAAUCUGAUUCUGAUUUUCGGUAUGUUUUGACUUGGUCUCACCUUAAUGAUUCAGAUUUAGAAGGCGUCUCUUUUUUAAGCUUUCCAAAUAAGAAUGCUUGACAACUUAGACAGCAGGCAUGUAUCUCAUUAGCAUCUAGCAAAUGUCAGAUUUAUUUACACAUUCAGAGAGUUGAUGCAUUUCUAAAUGUUUUCUUAUAAGCAACUAUUUUCUACCUUAUUUUAGAAUACCUUGAAAGUUCUGUUAUUUUGUGAAUUGUGAAAAUUCAAUCUACUAAUAGUUUCAGAAAACAUGUACUCUCUGUGAAUGUGUGGAAAGUAAUAUAUGAAUACAUAUAUUUAUGAAUACAUGGAGAAUAAUAUAUAAUAUCACUCUGUAUGAUAUAUACUCUUUAUAAUCUAUACUAUAAAUACUCUAUAUACUAUAGUACAUACUUUAAAUACUAUUAUAUAUUUUGUAUAUAUGAUAUUGUUCUGACAGUUGGAGGAGAUAUUCAUGAUAAGAUUUCACAAUUGUGAAACCUGCCUCUUCUUAUAAUUCAGAUUAAUAUCUUACUUCUUAAGAAUGUGAGAAACUCUGUGACAAAAAGACAAUGUUAUGUUAAUUUCCACACAAUGAAUUUGUCUCUCAUCUACAGUAAAGAUAAAUAAGUUGAUUUUUUUAUCAUAACUCUAUCCAUUCACUUUAAAAGAGUAGCCAUUAUUCCAUAUUAUUCUAAACAGUUUUAUUAAGAUAAAAGCUAAGCUGUUGAAAAAAAAUGCACUGGCCUAAAUUAGCUUGCAGGUUCUCUCAUGCAAUGGAACAACUGAAAGCCCAAGGCGCCUAGGCAGGCAGGCAGCUUUGCUCAGUGAUGCCUUUUCAAGGAUGUGUUUUCUUGCCACUUCAUGCGCCAGCAUUCCCGCGGAUGUUAUGUUCAUCCGCGUGGUUGACGUUGCACUUCUGCUACAUGAACAUUUCAGUCUGCAAAAGGGAAAAGAGAGGACCAGGGUAACAAAUGUCCUUUUAAAUACCACUCAUUUCUGUUCAUAUUUCAUAGGUGAGAACUUACGUACAGAGCCAUCCACAGGUGUAAGUGUGAGGACGAGAAAAGUAGUUCAUAGCUAUGCAGCCAUGUGCCCAGAAAGAAGAGGAGAAUGGAUUUGGGGAGGAAACUAGCAGACUGCAAGUCCUUCCCAUGGCCAGCAGAUAUCUGAGUACACUUCUCUUCCAAUAAAUCAAACUCGUAUUCUCCCCAAAGGACAAAAUUAUCCUCCUGCCUCAUCCAGGUCAAAGCAGAAUUUGUGGCUAAUGGACAUUUCUAUCCAUUAUGUCCAGUUGUAGAUUCUGCAACCUGGCAACUUACAAACUAAUAAAAAACCAUCUGUCUUCUAUACCCACUCUCAUCUUACACAGACGAGAUUUGGGUAUCCCCCAACAUUGAUGUGGCAGAAGCAAGAGUACAUACAAGUGGAGGCUUACAUAACAUAUACUUAAAUAUUUAAAAAUUAUAAAUGAAGCAAAUACAUUGUUAAAUAAAAUACCUCUGUCUACUCUGACAAUUCAGAAUUUUCAAACCUCCUUGUUUUCCAAUUUAGAAUGUGGCAACACAGGGAGAAAUGCCCUCAGAUCUUAAUCUUUAGCCAUGGUGCUUCCUUCUCUUCACAUCCUUCUCUUACGGCCAGUUGUGGACAUCUCAGCCUGCGAGUCCAAACUACAUUCACACUUCCCCUGAACAGCUGCCCUUUAGCCAGUUCUUGGGUUUAGGCUAAGGCCAACAGCGGAACAGAGAAUUCUCAGGAGGAUGAUGUGGGUAAAAAAAUCUGUGAAAAACCUGGAAGCCAAUGUAGUGCUAUGCGGACAGGGCAGUCUGGAGUCCCAGGUAUCGGAAGCAUGGCCUAGAAGUGGAGCAUGGACUCCAGGGACAUCACGGCCACUUGGCCUGCGGAAGUCUCACCUUGACAAUUGGGGUAAGGUUGAGAAGGGAAGGAGUCAGACCUGCAAAAGGAUGGAUCCCAAGGCAGUAACCCCUCUUGCUUGUCUGUAAAAUUGGAAAUGAGAAUAAUAUAUGAUGGUGGAGCAGGAACAAACUAAUUCUACUAAAAUCUCCAAAACAUUCAUUCAGAAAAUAGAAUGGGAAACAAGUCAGUCAGUCCAUAAGAAUGAGGUCUUUUGCAGAAAUGAUAAAGGCUGGCUUUGUCGAAUGCUGAAUAAAAUCAUUGGUUAGACUCAUUCUGAUCUGUGAGAAAACCCAACUUGUCCUCAGUCUUCCUUGGUACUUGGCUUUGCCUUCUAGGAAGUUCUUCAUUGUGUUCAUAAUCUUCAGUGGCCGCAUCUGAAGAGAGUCUACUUUCUCCUUGGAGACUGCGUAGUUUCACAAACUACUUCUUGCAGUUGCAGUUCUGAGAGCCUGAAAA
ensembl:lncRNA